AGGUUGGCUAAUCCUGGUCGGACAUCAGGAGGUUAGUGCAAUGGCAUAAGCCAGCUUGACUGCGAGCGUGACGGCGCGAGCAGGUGCGAAAGCAGGUCAUAGUGAUCCGGUGGUUCUGAAUGGAAGGGCCAUCGCUCAACGGAUAAAAGGUACUCCGGGGAUAACAGGCUGAUACCGCCCAAGAGUUCAUAUCGACGGCGGUGUUUGGCACCUCGAUGUCGGCUCAUCACAUCCUGGGGCUGAAGUAGGUCCCAAGGGUAUGGCUGUUCGCCAUUUAAAGUGGUACGCGAGCUGGGUUUAGAACGUCGUGAGACAGUUCGGUCCCUAUCUGCCGUGGGCGCUGGAGAACUGAGGGGGGCUGCUCCUAGUACGAGAGGACCGGAGUGGACGCAUCACUGGUGUUCGGGUUGUCAUGCCAAUGGCACUGCCCGGUAGCUAAAUGCGGAAGAGAUAAGUGCUGAAAGCAUCUAAGCACGAAACUUGCCCCGAGAUGAGUUCUCCCUGACUCCUUGAGAGUCCUGAAGGAACGUUGAAGACGACGACGUUGAUAGGCCGGGUGUGUAAGCGCAGCGAUGCGUUGAGCUAACCGGUACUAAUGAACCGUGAGG
rnacentral:rRNA from 1 species